UACAGAGGGUGCAAGCGUUAAUCGGAAUUACUGGGCGUGAAGCGCGCGUAGGUGGUUUGUUAAGUUGGAUGUGAAAUCCCCGGGCUCAACCUGGGAACUGCAUUCAAAACUGACAAGCUAGAGUAUGGUAGAGGGUGGUGGAAUUUCCCGUGUAGCGGUGAAAUGCGUAGAUAUAGGAAGGAACACCAGUGGCGAAGGCGACCACCUGGACUGAUACUGACACUGAGGUGCGAAAGCGUGGGGAGCAAACAGG
rnacentral:rRNA from 1 species